CCAUCCUCUAAGAAGAAUAUGUCUGGCUAUCAUUAAACAACUUCAUAUGUGUUUAUCAGUCCGGUUUAGGAUUGACCCAUCUCCCAGAACAAAUAAUCUUGGGCUGAAUGGAACCUGGCUCCCUGCAAUUUGACACAGGUUAUCAUAAAGUCUUUGGC